rnacentral:rRNA from 1 species
AACGAACGCUGGCGGCAUGCCUAACACAUGCAAGUCGAACGAGAUCUUCGGGUCUAGUGGCGCACGGGUGCGUAACGCGUGGGAAUCUGCCCUUUGGUUCGGAAUAACAGUUGGAAACGACCGCUAAUACCGGAUGAUGACGAAAGUCCAAAGAUUUAUCGCCAGAGGAUGAGCCCGCGUAGGAUUAGCUAGUUGGUGUGGUAAAGGCGCACCAAGGCGACGAUCCUUAGCUGGUCUGAGAGGAUGAUCAGCCACACUGCGACUGAGACACGGCCCAGACUCCUACGGGAGGCAGCAGUGGGGAAUAUUGGACAAUGGGCGAAAGCCUGAUCCAGCAAUGCCGCGUGAGUGAUGAAGGCCUUAGGGUUGUAAAGCUCUUUUACCCGGGAUGAUAAUGACAGUACCGGGAGAAUAAGCUCCGGCUAACUCCGUGCCAGCAGCCGCCGUAA